rnacentral:rRNA from 1 species
UACGUAGGUGGCAAGCGUUGUCCGGAUUUACUGGGCGUAAAGAGCGCGCAGGCGGUCGUUCAAGUCGCGUGUGAAAGCCCCCGGCUCAACUGGGGAGGGUCACGCGAUACUGAUCGACUCGAAGGCAGGAGAGGGAAGUGGAAUUCCCGGUGUAGUGGUGAAAUGCGUAGAUAUCGGGGAGGAACACCAGUGGCGAAAGGCGACUUCCCUGGCCGUCGUA